rnacentral:rRNA from 1 species
UAGGGAAUCUUCCACAAUGGACGCAAGUCUGAUGGAGCAACGCCGCGUGAGUGAAGAAGGUUUUCGGACCGUAAAGCUCUGUUGUUGGUGAAGAAGGAUAGAGGUAGUAACUGGCCUUUAUUUGACGGUAAUCAACCAGAAAGUCACGGCUAACUACGUGCCAGCAGCCGCGGUAAUACGUAGGUGGCAAGCGUUGUCCGGAUUUAUUGGGCGUAAAGCGAGCGCAGGCGGAAGAAUAAGUCUGAUGUGAAAGCCCUCGGCUUAACCGAGGAAUUGCAUCGGAAACUGUUUUUCUUGAGUGCAGAAGAGGAGAGUAGAACUCCAUGUGUAGCGGUGGAAUGCGUAGAUAUAUGGAAGAAUACCAGUGGCGAAGGCGGCUCUCUGGUCUGCAACUGACGCUGAGGCUCGAAAGCAUGGGUAGCGAACAGGAUUAGAUACCCUGGUAGUCCAUGCCGUAAACGAUGAGUGCUAAGUGUUGGGAGGCUUCCGCCUCUCAGUGCUGUAGCUAACGCAUUAAGCACUCCGCCUGGGGGAGUACGACCGCAAGGUUGAAAC